ACUCCUACGGGAGGCAGCAGUGGGGAAUAUUGCACAAUGGGGGAAACCCUGAUGCAGCCAUGCCGCGUGUGUGAAGAAGGCCUUGGGUUGUAAAGCACUUUCAGUAGGGAGGAAGGUAGUGUAGUUAACACCUGCAUUAUUUGUACGUUACCUACAGAAGAAGCACCGGCUAACUCCGUGCCAGCAGCCGCGGUAAGUACGGAGGGUGCGAGCGUUAAUCGGAAUUACUGGGCGUAAAGCGCAUGCAGGCGGCCUGUUAAGUACAGAUGUGAAAGCCCGGGGUCUUAACCUCGGAAUUGCAUUUGAAACUGGCAGGCUAGAGUCUUGUAGAGGGGUUAGAAUUUCAGGUGUAGCGGUGAAAUGCGUAGAGAUCUGAAGG
rnacentral:rRNA from 1 species